GUUGAUAAAGUUACCUUUUAUACUGACGGUUACACGGUGUUCAAGGCCGGCUCAUUAAAUACUAUUGAUGAUUUGGAAUUUGAAUGGGAAGGGUCCGGUUCCAGGUCCAUGUAUCUAUUAAAUAGGGUUUUUCUGAUUUGGGCCUCCAUUCUCUUCUCCUUUCAUUUCGUGAAUAACGAUUGGGUACACUUCAAUUAUCUCUCACUAUGGACCUUUAUUAAAUUAUCUUGGGCCAUUCAUAGUUUUCUAUUAAACAUUCUGUUUAACAAAAAAACUAGGGGGCAAUGUUGGGUCGUGAUAUUUCCUAUUUUUGGGCCGGGUACAUUGGGCCUACUCACAUGAAGAAUCCAUUGGGCCUUUAUUUUUAAUCCUUUAAAGCCACUGGGCCCAGUCACCAUAUUAUAUCCGUUUUAAUCUUUAAAGCCGGGUCGGUCCAGUGAAUCGACCCAUUAGAUAUUUUAAUAUCUGUUACUUUGACUUGUGAUGAUGAAAAAGCAUGACGG
rnacentral:lncRNA from 1 species